rnacentral:rRNA from 1 species
CGGGGGGAGCAAGCGUUGUUCGGAUUUACUGGGCGUAAAGGGCGCGUAGGCGGCGUGACAAGUCACUUGUGAAAUCUCCGGGCUUAACCCGGAGCGGUCAAGUGAUACUGUCGUGCUAGAGUGCGGAAGGGGCAACUGGAAUUCUCGGUGUAGCGGUGAAAUGCGUAGAUAUCGAGAGGAACACCUGCGGCGAAGGCGGGUUGCUGGGCCGACACUGACGCUGAGGCGCGAAAGCCAGGGGAGCGAACGGGAUUAGAUACCCCGGUAGUCCUGGCCUUAAACGAUGGAUGCUUGGUGUCCGGGGUUAUAAAGUCCCCGGGUGCCGUCGCUAACGCUUUAAGCAUCCCGCCUGGGGAGUACGCACGCAAGUGUG